UCGGGAGACGCUAUAUCAGGGUCCUCUCAGC
rnacentral:piRNA from 1 species